GCGCUUCAGACUGAGCUUCCCUGCGGGUGGUGGGGCUGAGGUGUUGUUAUGGCGGACCCGGGGGUUCCCAGCCGGUACGAAAGUGGCACGGGAAAUCUGGGGGUGAAGGAGGCGGCGGAUCCUGGAGGAGCCCUGGUGGAGCUCACCCCAACACCCGGCGGCCUGGCUCUGGUGAGCCCCUACCACACCCACCGGGUCGGGGACCCCUUAGACCUCGUGGCGCUCGCCGAGCAGGUGCAGAAGGCUGAUGAAUUUAUCCGAGCGAAUGCUACUAACAAGCUGACAGUCAUUGCUGAACAAAUCCAGCAUUUGCAAGAACAAGCUAGGAAGGUGCUGGAGGAUGCUCGAAGAGAUGCUGACUUGCACCAUGUGGCUUGUAAUAUGGUGAAAAAACCUGGCAACAUUUACUAUCUUUACCAGAGGGAAAGUGGCCAGCAGUACUUUUCCAUUAUUUCUCCAGAGGAAUGGGGAGCAGGCUGUCCCCAUGACUUCCUUGGUGCCUACAAGCUGCAACAUGACAUGUCGUGGACUCCAUAUGAAGACAUGGAGAAGCAAGAUGCUAAAAUCGGCAUGAUGGACAAGCUGCUGAGCCAGCCCGUGGCCUUGCCCCCAUGCACUGAACCCACCUUCCAGGGACUGCCUCACUGAGUACGGCUCUGACUAGCAGCCCUCGUGACAAAGGCCUGAGUGCUACCCACCUCCUGUCCACAUGAAUCAUGAACUACUUGGAAGAUGAUCUUGAUGAAUGUAGCUGCUGGUUUUGCUGUCAGUGGGAUGGUAAGGGAUCACAGAACUGUGGGAUCUUCUUGGGUCCACUGAUGCCCAGUCAGUUGGUUUCCAAGGAUUGGCCAGUGCUUUCCUUCACCUCCAGCUGUUCCUCCCUUUAAGUCAAAACACUUGAGGAGGUAGAGCCUUCUUCCUGGCAAGUUGGUCAUCGUAUCAUGAACCAAGAGCAGAUCAGUUCUCAGAUGACUGAAUUUUCCUGGAAAGAUGUUAUUAAUGCCUUGGCCCUGGACAACAUGAUCCUGGGGCUCUUCUCCAUCUUCUGCAGCUUCAGCAGGUGUUAUCUUGCUGUUUUUCUCUCCGUUCCCGCUCACCGCCUUUUACUGCCUGACUUGGUCACUGUCCUACAUCUUCUCCCCUGAAGCCCUGUGGGGCAAAGGAGUUUGUACUAAGCAAUAGCGAGAGGAAGCCAUAUUGUCACCAGUCCUGCUGACUCUGUGGGCUGUACGCUUAGCAUCCUGGACCAAGACCUGCCCGUUCUCAUUAAAGCUUUCGGAUGCCUGUGUUGUCAUAU